GGGUUGUGAGGUUAAGCGACUAAGCGUACACGGUGGAUGCCCUGGCAGUCAGAGGCGAUGAAGGGCGUGCUAAUCUGCGAUAAGCGCCGGUAAGGUGAUAUGAACCGUUAUAACCGGCGAUACCCGAAUGGGGAAACCCAGUGUGAUUCGUCACACUAUCAUUAACUGAAUCCAUAGGUUAAUGAGGCGAACCGGGGGAACUGAAACAUCUAAGUACCCCGAGGAAAAGAAAUCAACCGAGAUUCCCCCAGUAGCGGCGAGCGAACGGGGAGGAGCCCAGAGCCUGAAUCAGCAUGUGUGUUAGUGGAAGCGUCUGGAAAGGCGCGCGAUACAGGGUGACAGCCCCGUACACAAAAGCGCAUGUGCUGUGAGCUCGAUGAGUAGGGCGGGACACGUGGUAUCCUGUCUGAAUAUGGGGGGACCAUCCUCCAAGGCUAAAUACUCCUGACUGACCGAUAGUGAACCAGUACCGUGAGGGAAAGGCGAAAAGAACCCCGGCGAGGGGAGUGAAAAAGAACCUGAAACCGUGUACGUACAAGCAGUGGGAGCACCCUUUUGGGUGUGACUGCGUACCUUUUGUAUAAUGGGUCAGCGACUUAUAUUCUGUAGCAAGGUUAACCGUAUAGGGGAGCCGUAGGGAAACCGAGUCUUAACCGGGCGUUAAGUUGCAGGGUAUAGACCCGAAACCCGGUGAUCUAGCCAUGGGCAGGUUGAAGGUUGGGUAACACUAACUGGAGGACCGAACCGACUAAUGUUGAAAAAUUAGCGGAUGACCUGUGGCUGGGGGUGAAAGGCCAAUCAAACCGGGAGAUAGCUGGUUCUCCCCGAAAGCUAUUUAGGUAGCGCCUCGUGAAUUCAUCUCCGGGGGUAGAGCACUGUUUCGGCUAGGGGGCCAUCCCGGCUUACCAACCCGAUGCAAACUGCGAAUACCGGAGAAUGUUAUCACGGGAGACACACGGCGGGUGCUAACGUCCGUCGUGAAGAGGGAAACAACCCAGACCGCCAGCUAAGGUCCCAAAGUCAUGGUUAAGUGGGAAACGAUGUGGGAAGGCCCAGACAGCCAGGAUGUUGGCUUAGAAGCAGCCAUCAUUUAAAGAAAGCGUAAUAGCUCACUGGUCGAGUCGGCCUGCGCGGAAGAUGUAACGGGGCUAAACCAUGCACCGAAGCUGCGGCAGCGACACUGUGUGUUGUUGGGUAGGGGAGCGUUCUGUAAGCCUGUGAAGGUGUGUCGUGAGGCAUGCUGGAGGUAUCAGAAGUGCGAAUGCUGACAUAAGUAACGAUAAAGCGGGUGAAAAGCCCGCUCGCCGGAAGACCAAGGGUUCCUGUCCAACGUUAAUCGGGGCAGGGUGAGUCGACCCCUAAGGCGAGGCCGAAAGGCGUAGUCGAUGGGAAACGGGUUAAUAUUCCCGUACUUGGUGUUACUGCGAAGGGGGGACGGAGAAGGCUAUGUUGGCCGGGCGACGGUUGUCCCGGUUUAAGCGUGUAGGUGUGUGUUCCAGGUAAAUCCGGUUCACUUUAACACUGAGGCGUGACGACGAGGCACUACGGUGCUGAAGCAACAAAUGCCCUGCUUCCAGGAAAAGCCUCUAAGCAUCAGGUAACAUCAAAUCGUACCCCAAACCGACACAGGUGGUCAGGUAGAGAAUACCAAGGCGCUUGAGAGAACUCGGGUGAAGGAACUAGGCAAAAUGGUGCCGUAACUUCGGGAGAAGGCACGCUGACACGUAGGUGAAGUGAUUUACUCACGGAGCUGAAGUCAGUCGAAGAUACCAGCUGGCUGCAACUGUUUAUUAAAAACACAGCACUGUGCAAACACGAAAGUGGACGUAUACGGUGUGACGCCUGCCCGGUGCCGGAAGGUUAAUUGAUGGGGUCAGCGCAAGCGAAGCUCCUGAUCGAAGCCCCGGUAAACGGCGGCCGUAACUAUAACGGUCCUAAGGUAGCGAAAUUCCUUGUCGGGUAAGUUCCGACCUGCACGAAUGGCGUAAUGAUGGCCAGGCUGUCUCCACCCGAGACUCAGUGAAAUUGAACUCGCUGUGAAGAUGCAGUGUACCCGCGGCAAGACGGAAAGACCCCGUGAACCUUUACUAUAGCUUGACACUGAACAUUGAGCCUUGAUGUGUAGGAUAGGUGGGAGGCUUUGAAGCGUGGACGCCAGUCUGCGUGGAGCCGACCUUGAAAUACCACCCUUUAAUGUUUGAUGUUCUAACGUGGACCCGUUACCCGGGUUGCGGACAGUGUCUGGUGGGUAGUUUGACUGGGGCGGUCUCCUCCUAAAGAGUAACGGAGGAGCACGAAGGUUGGCUAAUCCUGGUCGGACAUCAGGAGGUUAGUGCAAUGGCAUAAGCCAGCUUGACUGCGAGCGUGACGGCGCGAGCAGGUGCGAAAGCAGGUCAUAGUGAUCCGGUGGUUCUGAAUGGAAGGGCCAUCGCUCAACGGAUAAAAGGUACUCCGGGGAUAACAGGCUGAUACCGCCCAAGAGUUCAUAUCGACGGCGGUGUUUGGCACCUCGAUGUCGGCUCAUCACAUCCUGGGGCUGAAGUAGGUCCCAAGGGUAUGGCUGUUCGCCAUUUAAAGUGGUACGCGAGCUGGGUUUAGAACGUCGUGAGACAGUUCGGUCCCUAUCUGCCGUGGGCGCUGGAGAACUGAGGGGGGCUGCUCCUAGUACGAGAGGACCGGAGUGGACGCAUCACUGGUGUUCGGGUUGUCAUGCCAAUGGCACUGCCCGGUAGCUAAAUGCGGAAGAGAUAAGUGCUGAAAGCAUCUAAGCACGAAACUUGCCCCGAGAUGAGUUCUCCCUGAGACUUAGAGUCUCCUGAAGGAACGUUGAAGACGACGACGUUGAUAGGCCGGGUGUGUAAGCGCAGCGAUGCGUUGAGCUAACCGGUACUAAUGAACCGUGAGGCUUAACCUUACAACGCCGAAG
rnacentral:rRNA from 1 species